rnacentral:lncRNA from 1 species
UGAGGGAGAUUGAUGUGUCAUAUAUAGUAUGUAUUGUUGUAGUGGGUUAAGAAUGAUGCUACCUUGUCUAGACGGUUUAUCUUAUCAAAUUCAAUAUGGUUUUUCAAAUCCAUACUUGUUGAACUUGCAUACCGUGUUCAUCUCGGCGAGGAUGUUCUCCGCCGAGCAGCAACGUAUGUCAAGAAGGAGGUUCGAUUCUAC